rnacentral:rRNA from 1 species
AGCAGCCGCGGUAAUUCCAGCUCCAAUAGCGUAUAUUAAAGUUGUUGCAGUUAAAAAGCUCGUAGUUGAAUUUCGGGGUCAGUAGAUUGGUCGUGCCACUGGUAUGUACUGGUCUUACUGGCUCCUCCUUCCUGAUGAGCCGUAAUGCCAUUAAUUUGGUGUUGCGGGGAAACUGGACUGUUACUUUGAAAAAAUUAGAGUGUUUAAAGCAGGCUAACGCUUGAAUACAUUAGCAUGGAAUAAUGAAAUAGGACGUUCGAUCUUAUUUUGUUGGUUUCUAGGAUUGACGUAAUGAUUAAUAGGGAUAGUUGGGGGCAUUAGUAUUCAAUUGUCAGAGGUGAAAUUCUUGGAUUUAU